AGAGUUUGAUCCUGGCUCAGGAUGAACGCUAGCUACAGGCUUAACACAUGCAAGUCGAGGGGAAACGACAUCGAAAGCUUGCUUUUGAUGGGCGUCGACCGGCGCACGGGUGAGUAAUGCGUAUCCAACCUGCCCACCACUUGGGGAUAACCUUGCGAAAGUAAGACUAAUACCCAAUGAUAUCUCUAGAAGACAUCUGAAAGAGAUUAAAGAUUUAUCGGUGAUGGAUGGGGAUGCGUCUGAUUAGCUUGUUGGCGGGGUAACGGCCACCAAGGCUACGAUCAGUAGGGGUUCUGAGAGGAACGGUCCCCCANAUUGGAACUGAGACACGGUCCAAACUCCGUACGGGAGCA
rnacentral:rRNA from 1 species